rnacentral:rRNA from 1 species
UACGGAGGAGGCAAGCGUUAUCCGGAAUUAUUGGGCGUAAAGCGUCCGUAGAUGGUUUUGUCAGUCUGCUGUCAAAGCACAGGGCUUAACCCUGUAAAGGCAGUGGAAACUACAAGACUAGAGUGCAGUAGGGGCAGAGGGAAUUCCCAGUGUAGCGGUGAAAUGCGCAGAUAUCGGGAAGAACACCUAUGGCGAAGGCAGCUCUCUGGGACGGUACUGACGCUGAGACGCGAAAGCGUGGGGAGCGAACAGG